UUUUUUAAUAAUUUGGUUUAAAAAAGAAUGUUUAAAUCAUGAAAGAAUCUCAAUGUCAAAAGGUACUGUCAUCAAAAUAAAUCAAACUACAAUGCUCGGACACAAGCCGUUCAAAGUGUUCCAUUUGUCUUAUGAAUAUAAUUGGAAUAUGAAGUUUUGAAUCGGACCGGUGUUUGAAAAUUUAGCACCAUCAGAAGGUUUUCUGUGAAAAAAAAAAUGAUAAUGAUAAGUGACGAAAUACAUAUAUAACUUCCUAAUAAGCCCAAAUCCCUAUACACCCUCUAAUUUCUCUCACCCUCAAAGCUCCCAAGAUUCACUUCAUGCAGCUUUGUCAAGAAUCUUAAACAAGUUUUUGAAGAACAAACCGAGUUAUGGCAUUUGCCUGCUCAGUAUCCUGAGAGUUUACUCAAUACAUGAUUAUAUAGACAACCGAACAAAAUUACUCAAGUUUAAUCCUGAGAGUUUUAAAACAAUGAAAAAGAUGAUAUCUAGAGAAGGGUUCAGGUUCCACAGCUUCUGAUGUGAGCAAAUUCUUGGCAACAGAAUCACCAAGCAACAGCUUAUCACAUCUAAUUUAAGACAAUAACACGGCCAGCCAUGAAAUCCUCACAUUUCCCAGCAGCAGCUAUAUGCAAACCAUACAUACGGCUGUCACUUGAUAGCAUACCAAAAAACUUAUUCAAACUUGCAUGAAUUGACAUAUGGCACAAGAACUGUUGCAUGCCUUUUAAAAUUCAGUGCUUCUUUUGAGCCUUGACCUUCUGCAAUCUAGGCAAGCAGUGUCAUAGGUUAGCUCAUUGGCCUUCUAACAAUAUCAGCUCCAACUUAACAAAUAAUUUCAUUUUAAAAAAAUGAAAUUGUGAAUCACCUUUCUGCUAAUCAUUGUCUACACUUUAUAUGAAUUUGCUGCCGACUGCUUCCAGGAAAUGGUUUCAUUUUCAAAUAUGGUGGCCGAAGAAGCUUUUUCCUAAACUCUACUUCUGUUUGUUUUUUAACUAGUACCGUCAAGUUAUCCAUGCAAACAAAUGGAAAUAAAGAAUCAGUAACUUUUAAGUAUUCCUGGUACAGAAUUUGAUUGAAAUACUUUAUGCUUUUCAAUUAGAGAGCAAAUAAAGACAGAGCAGGAGAAGAAAUCACCUGAAGCAGAGGAUGAUUGCAAUUGCAAAUCCCAGAACACUCAAGCUCUCAAAAUUCACUCACACAAAAAACUAUCUCAUUAUCCUUGCCAGUAUCCUUGUCACCAUACAAGUUUCGAGCAAACAAACAGAAAUCUGAAGUUUACUGCAAGUUUAAUAUUAAGAGUUUCAAAGCAGUGAAAAAGAUGAUAUAGUUGAUGACCUGAGUUAUCCAUAGCGACAGGUUCGGGUUCAGGCUGAUGAAAAGAACCGCUGCUUCCGACAUGAGAACUUUCUUGGCAAUAACGUGGGGAACCAUCAAAUCGUAAAAUUUCCCAAUACUGCAAUCAUACUUACGGCCGUCACUUGAUAGCACCUAAAUGCACCAAAAGAAACAGAAGCUAACGAUGUCCAACCAUGAAACUUAUUCAAUGUUUAUGAAGAAUUUGGUGAAAGGAAAUGGUUUAUAGUCUGAAUGAAGGCAUGAUUGCCGCAAGAGGUAGAAUACUUUUCUUUGAGUUUUAAAUGAUGUGGCAUUCAUUUAUUGGAUGGUUGUCAAAUAACUUUAUAAUUUAAAAAAUUCAUCAUCUAAUAAAUGAGUGAUAUAUAGUAUUACGCAGAAGCAUGACUCAAAUGUUAGAAUUUUUAACAUUAUUGAAGGGAAAAGCUAAAAAAGGAGAGUUGAUGAAAGUUUGUUUGUCUUCUUAACAUAUAUGAAAAACAACUUAAGAUUUUUAAAAAAAUAAAAGGGUGAUUUUAAGAUAAUUAAUUCACCAGCAGAAUUAUCCAAAAUAAUUUAUGUAACUUAUAUGUUUACCAACUUAUUCCCAUUCCAAUGUGCAAUCAGCAGAAGGUGUUUUGCUUUCUAGCAGAUACCGUGUAGUACUACAGCCAUACACAAAUAUUUUAUUUAAUCGUUCUGUUCAAAUGAGAAACCUAGAAGCUAGUAGAAUAAUGCUUUUCCUUCUUGCACUUUUCCCCCCCAAUCUUCAACUUGUUCAAGAAGUUUAGUAAUAAUUUGAGAUGGAAAAUUUUUGGAUGCUUUUAUAGUAUAUUAUGUUCUCCAUUUGUUGAAUUCUUACAAUAUGUAUAUUGAUUAUUAUGUGAUUGAUUGAAAGGUGACAUAUAUGUGGUAAGAAUUCAAUGGAUAAUGAUAUAUAGCUUGCGAGCAACUCAAGAGUUUCUUUUAGUGGAAUUUUAAGUGUAAUUAUGCAAAGAUGAAAUGUAGCUAGUGGUUUUAAGGGAAUGUUAAAUUGCUAAUUGCAGUUUGAUCUUGUAACAGAUGGAAAUAAAAUUUCACGAAUUAUAUAAAUCAGCCAAAACGCGUAGAAUUAUCUGAGUCUCGGCUUUCACUAAAAUCCUCUUUUCCACAGACAUGCCCUGCUGCCUGCUUCACAUAUACAUUUAUCACCAAAGAAAUUGAACAUUUGUCAAUCAGCUGAUCAAAAGCCAAAUUAAUGGAGUCUUGUGAAUCAGGCGCUGGUUCAAAGAAAACAAGGCUAAAAACAGCAAAACGUUUUGCACUCCCACUCUUCAGCACUUGUCCUUCAAUUGUCAAAAAUGACUCGGUUCAAGAAUCUUAAUAAAGUUGUCUUACAUUCGAUGACAGACAGAAAACAGAAAUUACAAUCAUUACACUCAUAUCAAAAUUUUUAAAACUGUUGCAUAUAUUCCAGACAACGAAAAUGAUUCAAGCUACUUUAUGCUUCUUAAUUAGGUAACAAAUAACAACUAAGCAGGAGAAGAAACUACCUGAGGCUGAGGAUGAUCGUAAUUUCAUUCGCACAAAAACUAUCUCAUUAUCCUUGCCAGUAUCCUUGUCACCAUGCAAUUUUCGAGCAAACAAACUGAAAUCUGAAAUUUACUGAAGUUUUGUCAGGGGCCUCCAUUCACUCCCAACUGCCAACUGCUGCCUUGAAAUGGUUUCAUUUUCUUUGGGUUCUGUUACAGCCAAUCCUUCCACCAAUAAGAUUCUCAUUUCAUAUCCUGCCCAGCUUCCUGCAUCACGUCAUAAAUUUAGUUACAAGAAAUUGGUCACCUAGUCAAAGUAAGCAAACCUAUAAAAGUAACCAGUCAACUCAAAAUCAAAAUUAAUAGAAAUUUAUGAAUCAUGUAAUGGUCAAAAAGUCAGGCAUGCCAAUAAUUUACCCGAACACUGAAAAGGAAACAAGAAAUCAAUCGGACGAAAUAGAUAUAUCGCUUACCUUCUUCGAUGAAGUGAAAAAGCGGCUGCUUGCUCGUGUAGCUGAGAGAGAGAAAUUUGGGAAUUACAAUAUCUCAGGUGGGUUUUGAAAAAGGAAAGCAAAUCUCAGCUCAGUUGAUGAACUGUUCUUUUGACAGGUUUGAUACGAGUCAAGGUUCACUUAAAAGGAAGAAAAAUGCAGAUCAUCAGAGAAAAAUAGCCCAUGAACAGGUCAGCUCCCAACGGCUUACUUCAGUAUGUUACUUGUCGCUAUGGAUAACUCAGGUUUUUGUCAUCAACUAUAUCAUCUUUUUCACUGUUUUGAAACUCUUGAUAGUAAACUUCAGUAACCUUCGGAUCCUAACUCAUUGGAUCGGAACCUUUAACCCCGUUAGCAUAACACCGUAACUGGACGAACCAAAAAUCCAAAGUUUUCAAGUGCUUUUCCAGGCCAUCUCCAAUGUGACACCAAAACUAACACCAAACCACCUUUUACACUAUUUUUGGUGUAAAAUGCUUCUCCAAUGUAACACCAAAACCAACAACAAAAUGGUGUUGUGAAUAGUAUUGCACCAAAUAUGGUGUAACACUAUUCAUUUGGUGCUAGGAAAAAAAGCUCUUAAAUAUCUUUAUUACUUUUUCUUAUUUACAUAUAUGUCCUAUUUUAUAUAAUAUUUUAAGUUAUUAUUAUUAUUAUUUUUGUUAUUAUUUUUAUUUCAUUUUUUAAUUUUUGAAUAUUAUACUAAUAUUUUAAAUAACAAAUAUUCAACACAAAAAUUAAUAAUAAUAAUAAAAUGCUAGUAACAUUAAUUACUAUAUUACAUAUUACAAAAUUAAAUUAACACAAAUUAAAAAAGCUACUACUACUAGUAUAAAUUAGAACAAUUAUUUAAUAAUCUGGAAGAACAUUAUUAGAUCCUCCAAUAUCAUCAAAAUAUUAGAUAUAAAAUUAUUAUUAUUGUUAUUGUAUUUUUCUAUAUUAAUGUAAUGUUUAAUUUUCAUAAUGUACUAAUUUAGUUAAUUAAAUACAAAUUUAAUAAUUUUCUAUAUCUUUUGUGUUAAUCGAUAAAAUUACUUAUUACUUAAUUAUCUAUAUUAAUAGUAAUAUUUAUUCUGUUAAUUGAAUUAAUUCUUGAGAAUUAAAAUAAUAAAAAGAAAAUUAUUAUUUUUGGUGUAAAUGGGUUGGAGAUGAAAUAGUAAUUUAGUGUGAAAAAUGUAUAUUUUUAAUGUUGGUAUUACACCAAAAUGGUGUUAAGCAUUGGAGAUGCCCUCAUUGAAGCGCCGUUUAUCCCCCAAAAAAAUUUAUAGCGCUUAGAGGCCGCAGCAAAGUAUCCAGGUCCAAAGGUUCGAUAAAGCUUGAAAUCAAUGAAUCAAACACAAACAAUUGGGUUUCCAUUCACGUCCAUGUUAUACAGGGCUUUCAUUUUUGUGAAAUGACCAGUGGGACAACUUUUUCUUUCUUAACUUGUGACUGCACCAAAUAAUUUCAAAUGAAAAUGUUUCAACAUAAAAUCCUGAACAUUUUGAAGCUUAAAAAAUAAACUAUUACAACAUAUGGUUUAAUAACAUAAUAGUUGAGAUAUUUUUAAUAUCACAUUUCAAGUUUUAAUAUUUUAUCCUUUAAAUAUAGUUGACUUACUAUUUAAUCCUAGAUAGCCAUAUUUGCUCCACCCUUUUAGUUUUACAAUUUUGUCCUCCAAAUAUUUUUAGCUUAAUAUGUGAUCCUUGAUAGCUAUUUAUCAAACUCAUGGCAUAGAGAUCCACAUGGGCUUAUUAUUACACAAAUGCCCAUAUUUUAGGACCAAAAGAAAUUAGAAAGUAUGAAAAAUCAGGUAUUUUCUAUCACUUUGCUAUUAAUAGUUUGUUGCAGGUGUAUUUAGUGGAAAAUUGAUUGCUAAGAAUUACAGUUCUCCUAUGUAUAUUUGAUUUAAAAAGCACUAAUAAAAUAAUAUAUGUUAGUUACUUUUUUUUUAAUAAUUUAGUUUUUAAAAGAAUGUUUAAAUCAUGAAAGAAUCUCAAUGUCAAAAGGUACUGUCAUCAAAAUAAAUCAAACUACAAUGCUCGGACACAAGCCGUUCAAAGUGUUCCAUUUGUCUUAUGAAUAUAAUUGGAAUAUGAAGUUUUGAAUCGGACCGGUGUUUGAAAAUUUAGCACCAUCAGAAGGUUUUCUGUGAAAAAAAAAAUGAUAAUGAUAAGUGACGAAAUACAUAUAUAACUUCCUAAUAAGCCCAAAUCCCUAUAC
rnacentral:lncRNA from 1 species